rnacentral:rRNA from 1 species
UACGGAAGGCAGCAGUGGGGAAUAUUGCACAAUGGGCGCAAGCCUGAUGCAGCCAUGCCGCGUGUAUGAAGAAGGCCUUCGGGUUGUAAAGUACUUUCAGUCGUGAGGAGGGUGUUAAGGUUAAUAACCUUAGCAAUUGACGUUAGCGACAGAAGAAGCACCGGCUAACUCCGUGCCAGCAGCCGCGGUAAUACGGAGGGUGCGAGCGUUAAUCGGAAUUACUGGGCGUAAAGGGCACGCAGGCGGUUAAUUAAGUUGGAUGUGAAAUCCCCGGGCUUAACCUGGGAAUGGCAUUCAAGACUGGUUAGCUAGAGUCUUGUAGAGGGGGUAGAAUUCCAUGUGUAGCGGUGAAAUGCGUAGAGAUGUGGAGGAAUACCGGUGGCGAAGGCGGCCCCUGGGACAAAGACUGACGCUCAUGUGCGAAAGCGUGGGGAGCAAAC